rnacentral:rRNA from 1 species
CCGAAGUGGUGUGGAUGUUUAUUGGGCCUAAAGCAUCCGUAGCUGGCUAGGUAAGUCCCUUGUUAAAUCCACCGAAUUAAUCGUUGGAUCGCGGGGGAUACUGCUUGGCUAGGGGACGAGAGAGGCAGACGGUAUUUUCGGGGUAGGGGUGAAAUCCUAUAAUCCCGGGAAGACCACCAGUGGCGAAGGCUGUCGG